rnacentral:lncRNA from 1 species
GGAGUUUUAAGCGAAAAAUAAAAAGAAAACAUAAGAAAGAAGAGAUCGAAAAAUUCAACCAAUUUUCCUUCAAAAUUGCUGCCCGAUUUUCCUCCUCUGUAUUGUUUGCUGCUAUCUCCUCCCCUAUGUCUCACUCCCAUAUUUUUCUUUUGUUCCUUGGACUGAAAGUCGUCCUCCCUGCUAUGUAUGUACGUAUGUAUGUUUGGGGUGGGUCUUAGGAGCUGUUAUGGGGAGUUUAACUGGUGGUAAGGUGGUUUAUGUUACCGCCAUGGCUAUGGAGCUUGGUGAUGAGAGGGUGGAGUAACUGGUUUGGCUUGGUUGAGAUCCUCUUUCCCUUCUU